rnacentral:rRNA from 1 species
AUUGAACGCUGGCGGCAGGCUUAACACAUGCAAGUCGAACGAGUGGCGGACGGGUGAGUAAUGUUUGGGAAUCUGGCUUAUGGAGGGGGAUAACGACGGGAAACUGUAGCUAAUACCGCGUACCAUAGGAUGAGCCCAAGUGGGAUUAGGUAGUUGGUGGGGUAAUGGCACACCAAGCCGACGAUCCCUAGCUGGUCUGAGAGGAUGACCAGCCACACCGGAACGGAGACACGGCCCGGACUCCUACGGGAGGCAGCAGUGGGGAAUAGUGCGCAAUGGGCGAAAGCUGACGCAGCCAUGCCGCGUGAAUGAAGAAGGCCUUCGGGUUGUAAAGUACUUUCGGUGACGAGGCGUUAAUCACAGAAGAAGCACCGGCUAACUCCGUGCCAGCAGCCGCGGUAAUAC